CCUACGGGUGACAGCAGUGGGGAAUAUUGGGCAAUGGGCGCAAGCCUGACCCAGCAACGCCGCGUGAAGGAAGAAGGCCCUCGGGUUGUAAACUUCUUUUAUUCGGGACGAAACAAAUGACGGUACCUAAGGAAUAAGCCACGGCUAACUACGUGCCAGCAGCCGCGGAAAUACGUAGGGGGCAAGCGUUAUCCGGAUUUACUGGGUGUAAAGGGCGUGUAGGCGGGAGAGCAAGUCAGACGUGAAAUUCCAGGGCUCAACCAUGGAACUGCGUUUGAAACUGUUCUUCUUGAGUGAUGGAGAGGCAGGCGGAAUUCCGGGUGUAGCGGUGAAAUGCGUAGAUAUACGGAGGAACACCAGUGGCGAAGGCGGCCUGCUGGACAUUAACUGACGCUGAGGCGCGAAAGCGUGGGGAGCAAACAGGAUUAGAUACCCUGGUAGUC
rnacentral:rRNA from 1 species